UACGUAGGGAGCAAGCGUUGUCCGGAAUCAUUGGGCGUAAAGCGCGCGUAGGUGGCCCUGUAAGUCCGUUGUGAAAGUCAAAGGCUCAACCUUUGAAAGCCGAUGGAUACUGCAGGACUAGAGUACGGAAGAGGCGAGUGGAAUUCCUAGUGUAGAGGUGAAAUUCGUAGAUAUUAGGAAGAACACCAGUGGCGAAGGCGGCCCACUGGAUCGGUACUGACGCUGAGGUGCGAAAGCGUGGGGAGCAAACAGG
rnacentral:rRNA from 1 species